rnacentral:rRNA from 1 species
CCUACGGGAGGCAGCAGUGGGGAAUAUUGCACAAUGGGCGCAAGCCUGAUGCAGCCAUGCCGCGUGUGUGAAGAAGGCCUUCGGGUUGUAAAGCACUUUCAGCGGGGAGGAAGGCGGUGAGGUUAAUAACCUUAUCGAUUGACGUUACCCGCAGAAGAAGCACCGGCUAACUCCGUGCCAGCAGCCGCGGUAAUACGGAGGGUGCAAGCGUUAAUCGGAAUUACUGGGCGUAAAGCGCACGCAGGCGGUCUGUCAAGUCGGAUGUGAAAUCCCCGGGCUCAACCUGGGAACUGCAUUCGAAACUGGCAGUCUAGAGUCUUGUAGAGGGGGGUAGAAUUCCAGGUGUAGCGGUGAAAUGCGUAGAGAUCUGGAGGAAUACCGGUGGCGAAGGCGGCCCCCUGGACAAAGACUGACGCUCAGGUGCGAAAGCGUGGGGAGCAAACAGGAUUAGAUACCCCAGUAGUC